UACGUAGGGUGCAAGCGUUGUCCGGAAUUAUUGGGCGUAAGAGCUCGUAGGCGGUCUGUCGCGUCGGCUGUGAAAACUCGGGGCUCAACUCCGAGCUUGCAGUCGAUACGGGCAGGCUAGAGUUCGGCAGGGGAGACUGGAAUUCCUGGUGUAGCGGUGAAAUGCGCAGAUAUCAGGAGGAACACCGGUGGCGAAGGCGGGUCUCUGGGCCGAUACUGACGCUGAGGAGCGAAAGCGUGGGGAGCGAACAGG
rnacentral:rRNA from 1 species